GUGACAGAGAAGCUGGGGUUUAUAUGAUACUCAGUACUGUCACAGGAAUGGUAUCUGCUCUGGCUGAGACUCAGUCAGGUGCCCUGUGUCCUCUCCCUUACCUUUGAGCAGGUGUCCCACCAGUGCGAAGUUGAAGUUGGAGCUGAAGUUGAGGCCCACAAAGUGGUCCAUCUGUUUACAAUGCCACUCCAGAGGACGCCUGAUCUCCAUAAACACCUCCUCUGGACUCUUGAUUGGGGGGAAACAAAUAAAUAUGGUCAUUUAGCAGAUACUUCUUUAUACAUAUUCAGCAUAUAAAUAGUGUCAAUAUGUGAUGAAUAUGUUGAAUUCUUGUCUUUGAACCUAAAAGUGAAUAUGUGUGCCUCUGUGGUUAAGGUGUGUAAAUGAUUUUAGAACUGCCGGGUACAUUCUUCGUAACCUGGUUGUGUACAGCUUUCAUGGAAACAUGAACAAAUGCAAUGUUUCACCUUUUCUGAUGUUGAGGUCCCUCUAGGAAAAGUAAUCAAACUUAAAGUUGAAAAAAGAUAAUUUCGGGGGUUUUCUCUGCUGUUAAACAUAGGGGCGGGUCAUUUUUAACCCUUAAGACAACACAGGGGUUAAAAGGCUAAUUGAUCAUUAGAAAACCCUUUCGCAAUUAUGUUAGCACAGCUGAAAACUCUUGUCCUGAUUAAAGAAGCAAUCAACCGGUCUUCUUUAGACUAGUUGAGUAUCUAGAGCAUCAGCAUUUGUGGGUUCGAUUACAGGCUCAAUAUGGCCAGAAACAAAGAACUUUCUUCUGAAACUCGUCAGUCUAUUCUUGUUCUGAGAAAUGAAGGCUUUUCCAUGCGAGAAAUUGCCAAGAAACUGAAGAUAUCGUACAGCGCUGUGUACUACUCCCUUCACAGAACAGAGCAAACUGGCACUAACCAUAAUAGAAAGAAUGGGAGGCCCCGGUGCACAACUGAGCAAGAGGACAAGUACAUUACAGGGAUGCAAACUGCAGGGCCUCGGUGACGGUCUCCAGGGAGGACAGGGCGAAGGUCUCCCUCUCGUAGGAGCCGGGGGAGAAGGAGCGGUCGCGGUAGCUGGAGCGGAAGGCGAUGACCGCAGCAGACUUGACCUUACUGAUGCCAAACAGCAGGUAGAACUUAGGCAGGGAGAACUCUGUAAGGCUCAGCCUCAGGACCUGCUUGGUCUCCUCUGGAAGAGAUCAUGACAAGAGGAGAAGAUGACUUGUUGCUCUUCUGAAAGAGAAACCCUGAACACUGAUAUCUAUAGCAAAUAAAAAGAACACAGAAAUCUACCUCUAUUGAAGCAGUUUCAUGGUUCACUGCGUGCUGGGUUUACGUUAGGUCUCUCAAUUACAUUUUACUUGCAAGAGAGCCCAGUGGCAUCCCUUCACAUUAAUGAUCAGGGAAGGGCAUUAUUUAACUACAGGGUAUAGCCUGC
rnacentral:lncRNA from 1 species